AAUUUGGUGACAGUUAUAACUGAAUUUUUCAGGAACCGUGUUCCGUAAUAAGAAAACUUUCAGGAAACCGAUAGAAACGGGACAUAAAACCAUAACUAAGUGUAAGCAGGGAGCGUACCCUUUCCGAGAGCAAAGGAAAAAUCCAGAAGUUCCGUAUUAACACUUACGAUGAAUUCCAGACCUCUCUGGACAAGUACGGACACUUAGGUUUCCUUUUUCUGUACUUCACCGGUUCAGAGCUCAGUAAGGAUGGUUAUGAUUGGUGUCCCGAGUGCAGUGAAGCAUUACCUAUAAUAGAACAGGAGAUAGAUAAUGCUUGCAACGUGGUUUUCUUUUUAGUUGAAGUAGGAAACGAAGAACAAUGGCAAUGCAAAGAAAAUCCAUAUAGGUCCCAUCCGAAUUUAAAUUUAAAAGUAGUACCAACGUUUAUGAAAUGGAAUAGUCACCGAAGACUGGAAGGAGACUACUGUGCUAAAGCAGAAUUGGUACAGCUUUUAUUCGAAGACAAUUGUAGUUUUUAACCUUUUAUAGAACUAAAUAAUAAAUUAAUUAAUAAAUUACGAAAAUAAAU
rnacentral:misc_RNA from 1 species